GGGCGGUUAGCUCAGGGGGAGAGCGCCUCGUUCACACCGAGGAGGUCACAGGUUCAAAUCCUGUAUCGCCCA
rnacentral:tRNA from 1 species